rnacentral:rRNA from 1 species
GAUGAACGCUGGCGGCGUGCUUAACACAUGCAAGUCGAACGGAAAGGCCCAAGCUUGCUUGGGUACUCGAGUGGCGAACGGGUGAGUAACACGUGGGUGAUCUGCCCCGCACUUCGGGAUAAGCCUGGGAAACUGGGUCUAAUACCGGAUAGGACAGUGGUUUGGAUGCCAUUGUGGAAAGUUUUUUCGGUGUGGGAUGAGCUCGCGGCCUAUCAGCUUGUUGGUGGGGUAAUGGCCUACCAAGGCGUCGGCGGGUAGCCGGCCUGAGAGGGUGUACGGCCACAUUGGGACUGAGAUACGGCCCAGACGCCUACGGGAGGCAGCAGGGGGGAAUAUUGCACAAUGGGCGCAAGCCGGAUGCAGCGACGCCGCGUGGGGGAUGACGGCCUUCGGGUUGUAAACUCCUUUCGCUAGGGACGAAGCGUUAUGUGACGGUACCUAGAGAAGAAGCACCGGCUAACUACGUG